rnacentral:rRNA from 1 species
CCUACGGGAGGCAGCAGUGGGGAAUUUUGGACAAUGGGCGAAAGCCUGAUCCAGCCAUGCCGCGUGCAGGAUGAAGGCCUUCGGGUUGUAAACUGCUUUUGUACGGAACGAAAAGGUCUUUUCUAAUAAAGAAGGCUCAUGGCGGUACCGUAAGAAUAAGCACCGGCUAACUACGUGCCAGCAGCCGCGGUAAUACGUAGGGUGCAAGCGUUAAUCGGAAUUACUGGGCGUAAAGCGUGCGCAGGCGGUUAUAUAAGACAGUUGUGAAAUCCCCGGGCUCAACCUGGGAACUGCAUCUGUGACUGUAUAGCUAGAGUACGGUAGAGGGGGAUGGAAUUCCGCGUGUAGCAGUGAAAUGCGUAGAUAUGCGGAGGAACACCGAUGGCGAAGGCAAUCCCCUGGACCUGUACUGACGCUCAUGCACGAAAGCGUGGGGAGCAAACAGGAUUAGAUACCCUGGUAGUCCACGCCCUAAACGAUGUCAACUGGUUGUUGGGUCUUCACUGACUCAGUAACGAAGCUAACGCGUGAAGUUGACCGCCUGGGGGAGGUACGGCCGCGAGGUAGAACGUACGAAAGAAGUAGUACGACGUCGAGAGUAGCGACGACGACGACGAGGGAGGGAGGAGG